rnacentral:rRNA from 1 species
CGUGUAGGCGGUCGGUUAAGUCUGAUGUGAAAGCCCGGGGCUUAACCUCGGAAGGGCGUUGGAAACUGGCCGACUUGAGUUCGGGAGAGGGAAGCGGAAUUCCGGGUGUAGAGGUGAAAUUCGUAGAUAUCCGGAGGAACACCGGUGGCGAAGGCGGCUUCCUGGACCGAAACUGACGCUGAGACGCGAAAGCGUGGGGAGCAAACAGGAUUAGAUACCCUGGUAGUCCACGCCGUAAACGAUGGGCACUAGGUGUGGGGGGUUUUUAAUCCCUCCGCGCCGCAGCUAACGCAUUAAGUGCCCCGCCUGGGGAGUACGGCCGCAAGGUUAAA